rnacentral:lncRNA from 1 species
UAUUUCUGCAUGUGUAGUUUGCAUUCAAGUUCCAUAAGCUGUUAAGAAAAAUCUAGAAAAGUAAAACUAGAACCUAUUUUUAACCGAAGAACUACUUUUUGCCUCCCUCACAAAGGCGGCGGAAGGUGAUCGAAUUCCGGUGAUGCGAGUUGUUCUCCGUCUAUAAAUACGCCUCGCCCGAGCUGUGCGGUAGGCAUUGAGGCAGCCAGCGCAGGGGCUUCUGCUGAGGGGGCAGGCGGAGCUUGAGGAAACCGCAGAUAAGUUUUUUUCUCUUUGAAAGAUAGAGAUUAAUACAACUACUUAAAAAAUAUAGUCAAUAGGUUACUAAGAUAUUGCUUAGCGUUAAGUUUUUAACGUAAUUUUAAUAGCUUAAGAUUUUAAGAGAAAAUAUGAAGACUUAGAAGAGUAGCAUGAGGAAGGAAAAGAUAAAAGGUUUCUAAAACAUGACGGAGGUUGAGAUGAAGCUUCUUCAUGGAGUAAAAAAUGUAUUUAAAAGAAAAUUGAGAGAAAGGACUACAGAGCCCCGAAUUAAUACCAAUAGAAGGGCAAUGCUUUUAGAUUAAAAUGAAGGUGACUUAAACAGCUUAAAGUUUAGUUUAAAAGUUGUAGGUGAUUAAAAUAAUUUGAAGGCGAUCUUUUAAAAAGAGAUUAAACCGAAGGUGAUUAAAAGACCUUGAAAUCCAUGACGCAGGGAGAAUUGCGUCAUUUAAAGCCUAGUUAACGCAUUUACUAAACGCAGACGAAAAUGGAAAGAUUAAUUGGGAGUGGUAGGAUGAAACAAUUUGGAGAAGAUAGAAGUUUGAAGUGGAAAACUGGAAGACAGAAGUACGGGAAGGCGAAGAAAAGAAUAGAGAAGAUAGGGAAAUUAGAAGAUAAAAACAUACUUUUAGAAGAAAAAAGAUAAAUUUAAACCUGAAAAGUAGGAAGCAGAAGAAAAAAGACAAGCUAGGAAACAAAAAGCUAAGGGCAAAAUGUACAAACUUAGAAGAAAAUUGGAAGAUAGAAACAAGAUAGAAAAUGAAAAUAUUGUCAAGAGUUUCAGAUAGAAAAUGAAAAACAAGCUAAGACAAGUAUUGGAGAAGUAUAGAAGAUAGAAAAAUAUAAAGCCAAAAAUUGGAUAAAAUAGCACUGAAAAAAUGAGGAAAUUAUUGGUAACCAAUUUAUUUUAAAAGCCCAUCAAUUUAAUUUCUGGUGGUGCAGAAGUUAGAAGGUAAAGCUUGAGAAGAUGAGGGUGUUUACGUAGACCAGAACCAAUUUAGAAGAAUACUUGAAGCUAGAAGGGGAAGUUGGUUAAAAAUCACAUCAAAAAGCUACUAAAAGGACUGGUGUAAUUUAAAAAAAACUAAGGCAGAAGGCUUUUGGAAGAGUUAGAAGAAUUUGGAAGGCCUUAAAUAUAGUAGCUUAGUUUGAAAAAUGUGAAGGACUUUCGUAACGGAAGUAAUUCAAGAUCAAGAGUAAUUACCAACUUAAUGUUUUUGCAUUGGACUUUGAGUUAAGAUUAUUUUUUAAAUCCUGAGGACUAGCAUUAAUUGACAGCUGACCCAGGUGCUACACAGAAGUGGAUUCAGUGAAUCUAGGAAGACAGCAGCAGACAGGAUUCCAGGAACCAGUGUUUGAUGAAGCUAGGACUGAGGAGCAAGCGAGCAAGCAGCAGUUCGUGGUGAAGAUAGGAAAAGAGUCCAGGAGCCAGUGCGAUUUGGUGAAGGAAGCUAGGAAGAAGGAAGGAGCGCUAACGAUUUGGUGGUGAAGCUAGGAAAAAGGAUUCCAGGAAGGAGCGAGUGCAAUUUGGUGAUGAAGGUAGCAGGCGGCUUGGCUUGGCAACCACACGGAGGAGGCGAGCAGGCGUUGUGCGUAGAGGAUCCUAGACCAGCAUGCCAGUGUGCCAAGGCCACAGGGAAAGCGAGUGGUUGGUAAAAAUCCGUGAGGUCGGCAAUAUGUUGUUUUUCUGGAACUUACUUAUGGUAACCUUUUAUUUAUUUUCUAAUAUAAUGGGGGAGUUUCGUACUGAGGUGUAAAGGGAUUUAUAUGGGGACGUAGGCCGAUUUCCGGGUGUUGUAGGUUUCUCUUUUUCAGGCUUAUACUCAUGAAUCUUGUCUGAAGCUUUUGAGGGCAGACUGCCAAGUCCUGGAGAAAUAGUAGAUGGCAAGUUUGUGGGUUUUUUUUUUUUACACGAAUUUGAGGAAAACCAAAUGAAUUUGAUAGCCAAAUUGAGACAAUUUCAGCAAAUCUGUAAGCAGUUUGUAUGUUUAGUUGGGGUAAUGAAGUAUUUCAGUUUUGUGAAUAGAUGACCUGUUUUUACUUCCUCACCCUGAAUUCGUUUUGUAAAUGUAGAGUUUGGAUGUGUAACUGAGGCGGGGGGGAGUUUUCAGUAUUUUUUUUUGUGGGGGUGGGGGCAAAAUAUGUUUUCAGUUCUUUUUCCCUUAGGUCUGUCUAGAAUCCUAAAGGCAAAUGACUCAAGGUGUAACAGAAAACAAGAAAAUCCAAUAUCAGGAUAAUCAGACCACCACAGGUUUACAGUUUAUAGAAACUAGAGCAGUUCUCACGUUGAGGUCUGUGGAAGAGAUGUCCAUUGGAGAAAUGGCUGGUAGUUACUCUUUUUUCCCCCCACCCCCUUAAUCAGACUUUAAAAGUGCUUAACCCCUUAAACUUGUUAUUUUUUACUUGAAGCAUUUUGGGAUGGUCUUAACAGGGAAGAGAGAGGGUGGGGGAGAAAAUGUUUUUUUCUAAGAUUUUCCACAGAUGCUAUAGUACUAUUGACAAACUGGGUUAGAGAAGGAGUGUACCGCUGUGCUGUUGGCACGAACACCUUCAGGGACUGGAGCUGCUUUUAUCCUUGGAAGAGUAUUCCCAGUUGAAGCUGAAAAGUACAGCACAGUGCAGCUUUGGUUCAUAUUCAGUCAUCUCAGGAGAACUUCAGAAGAGCUUGAGUAGGCCAAAUGUUGAAGUUAAGUUUUCCAAUAAUGUGACUUCUUAAAAGUUUUAUUAAAGGGGAGGGGCAAAUAUUGGCAAUUAGUUGGCAGUGGCCUGUUACGGUUGGGAUUGGUGGGGUGGGUUUAGGUAAUUGUUUAGUUUAUGAUUGCAGAUAAACUCAUGCCAGAGAACUUAAAGUCUUAGAAUGGAAAAAGUAAAGAAAUAUCAACUUCCAAGUUGGCAAGUAACUCCCAAUGAUUUAGUUUUUUUCCCCCCAGUUUGAAUUGGGAAGCUGGGGGAAGUUAAAUAUGAGCCACUGGGUGUACCAGUGCAUUAAUUUGGGCAAGGAAAGUGUCAUAAUUUGAUACUGUAUCUGUUUUCCUUCAAAGUAUAGAGCUUUUGGGGAAGGAAAGUAUUGAACUGGGGGUUGGUCUGGCCUACUGGGCUGACAUUAACUACAAUUAUGGGAAAUGCAAAAGUUGUUUGGAUAUGGUAGUGUGUGGUUCUCUUUUGGAAUUUUUUUCAGGUGAUUUAAUAAUAAUUUAAAACUACUAUAGAAACUGCAGAGCAAAGGAAGUGGCUUAAUGAUCCUGAAGGGAUUUCUUCUGAUGGUAGCUUUUGUAUUAUCAAGUAAGAUUCUAUUUUCAGUUGUGUGUAAGCAAGUUUUUUUUUAGUGUAGGAGAAAUACUUUUCCAUUGUUUAACUGCAAAACAAGAUGUUAAGGUAUGCUUCAAAAAUUUUGUAAAUUGUUUAUUUUAAACUUAUCUGUUUGUAAAUUGUAACUGAUUAAGAAUUGUGAUAGUUCAGCUUGAAUGUCUCUUAGAGGGUGGGCUUUUGUUGAUGAGGGAGGGGAAACUUUUUUUUUUUCUAUAGACUUUUUUCAGAUAACAUCUUCUGAGUCAUAACCAGCCUGGCAGUAUGAUGGCCUAGAUGCAGAGAAAACAGCUCCUUGGUGAAUUGAUAAGUAAAGGCAGAAAAGAUUAUAUGUCAUACCUCCAUUGGGGAAUAAGCAUAACCCUGAGAUUCUUACUACUGAUGAGAACAUUAUCUGCAUAUGCCAAAAAAUUUUAAGCAAAUGAAAGCUACCAAUUUAAAGUUACGGAAUCUACCAUUUUAAAGUUAAUUGCUUGUCAAGCUAUAACCACAAAAAUAAUGAAUUGAUGAGAAAUACAAUGAAGAGGCAAUGUCCAUCUCAAAAUACUGCUUUUACAAAAGCAGAAUAAAAGCGAAAAGAAAUGAAAAUGUUACACUACAUUAAUCCUGGAAUAAAAGAAGCCGAAAUAAAUGAGAGAUGAGUUGGGAUCAAGUGGAUUGAGGAGGCUGUGCUGUGUGCCAAUGUUUCGUUUGCCUCAGACAGGUAUCUCUUCGUUAUCAGAAGAGUUGCUUCAUUUCAUCUGGGAGCAGAAAACAGCAGGCAGCUGUUAACAGAUAAGUUUAACUUGCAUCUGCAGUAUUGCAUGUUAGGGAUAAGUGCUUAUUUUUAAGAGCUGUGGAGUUCUUAAAUAUCAACCAUGGCACUUUCUCCUGACCCCUUCCCUAGGGGAUUUCAGGAUUGAGAAAUUUUUCCAUCGAGCCUUUUUAAAAUUGUAGGACUUGUUCCUGUGGGCUUCAGUGAUGGGAUAGUACACUUCACUCAGAGGCAUUUGCAUCUUUAAAUAAUUUCUUAAAAGCCUCUAAAGUGAUCAGUGCCUUGAUGCCAACUAAGGAAAUUUGUUUAGCAUUGAAUCUCUGAAGGCUCUAUGAAAGGAAUAGCAUGAUGUGCUGUUAGAAUCAGAUGUUACUGCUAAAAUUUACAUGUUGUGAUGUAAAUUGUGUAGAAAACCAUUAAAUCAUUCAAAAUAAUAAACUAUUUUUAUUAGAGAAUGUAUACUUUUAGAAAGCUGUCUCCUUAUUUAAAUAAAAUAGUGUUUGUCUGUAGUUCAGUGUUGGGGCAAUCUUGGGGGGGAUUCUUCUCUAAUCUUUCAGAAACUUUGUCUGCGAACACUCUUUAAUGGACCAGAUCAGGAUUUGAGCGGAAGAACGAAUGUAACUUUAAGGCAGGAAAGACAAAUUUUAUUCUUCAUAAAGUGAUGAGCAUAUAAUAAUUCCAGGCACAUGGCAAUAGAGGCCCUCUAAAUAAGGAAUAAAUAACCUCUUAGACAGGUGGGAGAUUAUGAUCAGAGUAAAAGGUAAUUACACAUUUUAUUUCCAGAAAGUCAGGGGUCUAUAAAUUGACAGUGAUUAGAGUAAUACUUUUUCACAUUUCCAAAGUUUGCAUGUUAACUUUAAAUGCUUACAAUCUUAGAGUGGUAGGCAAUGUUUUACACUAUUGACCUUAUAUAGGGAAGGGAGGGGGUGCCUGUGGGGUUUUAAAGAAUUUUCCUUUGCAGAGGCAUUUCAUCCUUCAUGAAGCCAUUCAGGAUUUUGAAUUGCAUAUGAGUGCUUGGCUCUUCCUUCUGUUCUAGUGAGUGUAUGAGACCUUGCAGUGAGUUUAUCAGCAUACUCAAAAUUUUUUUCCUGGAAUUUGGAGGGAUGGGAGGAGGGGGUGGGGCUUACUUGUUGUAGCUUUUUUUUUUUUUACAGACUUCACAGAGAAUGCAGUUGUCUUGACUUCAGGUCUGUCUGUUCUGUUGGCAAGUAAAUGCAGUACUGUUCUGAUCCCGCUGCUAUUAGAAUGCAUUGUGAAACGACUGGAGUAUGAUUAAAAGUUGUGUUCCCCAAUGCUUGGAGUAGUGAUUGUUGAAGGAAAAAAUCCAGCUGAGUGAUAAAGGCUGAGUGUUGAGGAAAUUUCUGCAGUUUUAAGCAGUCGUAUUUGUGAUUGAAGCUGAGUACAUUUUGCUGGUGUAUUUUUAGGUAAAAUGCUUUUUGUUCAUUUCUGGUGGUGGGAGGGGACUGAAGCCUUUAGUCUUUUCCAGAUGCAACCUUAAAAUCAGUGACAAGAAACAUUCCAAACAAGCAACAGUCUUCAAGAAAUUAAACUGGCAAGUGGAAAUGUUUAAACAGUUCAGUGAUCUUUAGUGCAUUGUUUAUGUGUGGGUUUCUCUCUCCCCUCCCUUGGUCUUAAUUCUUACAUGCAGGAACACUCAGCAGACACACGUAUGCGAAGGGCCAGAGAAGCCAGACCCAGUAAGAAAAAAUAGCCUAUUUACUUUAAAUAAACCAAACAUUCCAUUUUAAAUGUGGGGAUUGGGAACCACUAGUUCUUUCAGAUGGUAUUCUUCAGACUAUAGAAGGAGCUUCCAGUUGAAUUCACCAGUGGACAAAAUGAGGAAAACAGGUGAACAAGCUUUUUCUGUAUUUACAUACAAAGUCAGAUCAGUUAUGGGACAAUAGUAUUGAAUAGAUUUCAGCUUUAUGCUGGAGUAACUGGCAUGUGAGCAAACUGUGUUGGCGUGGGGGUGGAGGGGUGAGGUGGGCGCUAAGCCUUUUUUUAAGAUUUUUCAGGUACCCCUCACUAAAGGCACCGAAGGCUUAAAGUAGGACAACCAUGGAGCCUUCCUGUGGCAGGAGAGACAACAAAGCGCUAUUAUCCUAAGGUCAAGAGAAGUGUCAGCCUCACCUGAUUUUUAUUAGUAAUGAGGACUUGCCUCAACUCCCUCUUUCUGGAGUGAAGCAUCCGAAGGAAUGCUUGAAGUACCCCUGGGCUUCUCUUAACAUUUAAGCAAGCUGUUUUUAUAGCAGCUCUUAAUAAUAAAGCCCAAAUCUCAAGCGGUGCUUGAAGGGGAGGGAAAGGGGGAAAGCGGGCAACCACUUUUCCCUAGCUUUUCCAGAAGCCUGUUAAAAGCAAGGUCUCCCCACAAGCAACUUCUCUGCCACAUCGCCACCCCGUGCCUUUUGAUCUAGCACAGACCCUUCACCCCUCACCUCGAUGCAGCCAGUAGCUUGGAUCCUUGUGGGCAUGAUCCAUAAUCGGUUUCAAGGUAACGAUGGUGUCGAGGUCUUUGGUGGGUUGAACUAUGUUAGAAAAGGCCAUUAAUUUGCCUGCAAAUUGUUAACAGAAGGGUAUUAAAACCACAGCUAAGUAGCUCUAUUAUAAUACUUAUCCAGUGACUAAAACCAACUUAAACCAGUAAGUGGAGAAAUAACAUGUUCAAGAACUGUAAUGCUGGGUGGGAACAUGUAACUUGUAGACUGGAGAAGAUAGGCAUUUGAGUGGCUGAGAGGGCUUUUGGGUGGGAAUGCAAAAAUUCUCUGCUAAGACUUUUUCAGGUGAACAUAACAGACUUGGCCAAGCUAGCAUCUUAGCGGAAGCUGAUCUCCAAUGCUCUUCAGUAGGGUCAUGAAGGUUUUUCUUUUCCUGAGAAAACAACACGUAUUGUUUUCUCAGGUUUUGCUUUUUGGCCUUUUUCUAGCUUAAAAAAAAAAAAAGCAAAAGAUGCUGGUGGUUGGCACUCCUGGUUUCCAGGACGGGGUUCAAAUCCCUGCGGCGUCUUUGCUUUGACUACUAAUCUGUCUUCAGGACUCUUUCUGUAUUUCUCCUUUUCUCUGCAGGUGCUAGUUCUUGGAGUUUUGGGGAGGUGGGAGGUAACAGCACAAUAUCUUUGAACUAUAUACAUCCUUGAUGUAUAAUUUGUCAGGAGCUUGACUUGAUUGUAUAUUCAUAUUUACACGAGAACCUAAUAUAACUGCCUUGUCUUUUUCAGGUAAUAGCCUGCAGCUGGUGUUUUGAGAAGCCCUACUGCUGAAAACUUAACAAUUUUGUGUAAUAAAAAUGGAGAAGCUCUAAAUUGUUGUGGUUCUUUUGUGAAUAAAAAAAUCUUGAUUGG